UACAGAGGGUGCAAGCGUUAAUCGGAAUUACUGGGCGUAAAGCGCGCGUAGGCGGUUCGAUAAGUCGGAUGUGAAAGCCCUGGGCUCAACCUGGGAAUGCCAUUCGAUACUGUCGAGCUAGAGUAUGGUAGAGGAAAGCGGAAUUCCACAUGUAGCGGUGAAAUGCGUAGAUAUGUGGAGGAACAUCAGUGGCGAAGGCGGCUUCUUGGGCCUUUACUGACGCUGAGGCGCGAAAGCCAGGGGAGCGAACGGG
rnacentral:rRNA from 1 species